CGGGAUGUAGCGCAGCCUGGGUAGCGCACUACCUUGGGGUGGUAGAGGUCGCCCGUUCAAAUCGGGUCAUUCCGACCA
rnacentral:tRNA from 2 species